rnacentral:rRNA from 1 species
UACGAAGGGGGCUAGCGUUGCUCGGAAUUACUGGGCGUAAAGGGUGCGUAGGCGGGUUUUUAAGUCAGAGGUGAAAUCCUGGAGCUCAACUCCAGAACUGCCUUUGAUACUGAGAAUCUUGAGUAUGGGAGAGGUGAGUGGAACUGCGAGUGUAGAGGUGAAAUUCGUAGAUAUUCGCAAGAACACCAGUGGCGAAGGCGGCUCGCUGGCCCAUAACUGACGCUGAGGCACGAAAGCGUGGGGAGCAAACAGG